AUGUAUAAUCAGAUUCUGGAAGCUCCUUUUUGGAGUCACGAGGCAUCUGAUGCUGUGAGGGCUUCUUGGAGAGACGAGUACGAAGCUUGUGAUGAUUUUUCUAUGGUUUUGCAGACAUCACAAAAUGGCUGCAGAAAAAUUCUUCAAAAGGAACCUUUAUCAUCUCUACCGCAUGAGUUUGAAAACGAAAUUAUGAAAGAUAAGGCCAAAAAGCUUUUGGCUAAUUACUCUGAAUAUCGGAAGGUACCUGGAGAUGGGAGUUGCUUUUACAGAUCGUUCAUAUACUCAUACCUGGAGCAGCUUGUGAAAGUAUCUCAUGAGGAGGAGCUACGUUUACUUGGUGCACUUGAACCAAUGUGGGAGAAAUUCCAAAGGCUUCAUUUGCCUGGUUCAUAUUCUGAUCUUCAUGAUCCUUUUGUGGGCUUUAUACUGGAAUGUAUGGAACAAAAACAAAAACUGUCAGUAAGUGGCUAUCAAGAGUGGCUUUUCCAGGAGAGUCAAAAUGAGCAGAAGUUUGCGAACAUACUUUUGUAUCUUCGACUUGUGACAGCUAUUGAGAUAUGCACUGAGGUUGAAACUUUUAAGUCAUACAUAACCGAACUUGGUCAAGGAAUGCCUGAUGCAAUAGGGUACUGCCUGGAGGAGGUUCUCCCAGUGGAGGAAGAUGCACAACAAGUGAAUCUCACUGCGCUCACCAAUGUCCUACAGGUGCCACUUCGAGUUGUUAACAUUGACGUUUCACCGAUUGAGGAGCUUAACAUCCACAUCAUCUACGAGUCACCAGAUUCCUCGGUUCCUACUGUGACACUACUGUAUAGACCAGGGCAUUAUGAUAUCAUCUACGAGAAGUCAUAG
rnacentral:rRNA from 1 species